rnacentral:rRNA from 1 species
AUUGAACGCUGGCGGCAGGCCUAACACAUGCAAGUCGAGCGCGAAAGUUCUUCGGAAUGAGUAAAGCGGCGGACGGGUGAGUAAUACAUGGGAAUCUGCCUGGUAGUGGGGGACAACGUUUCGAAAGGAACGCUAAUACCGCAUACGCCCUACGGGGGAAAGGGGGGGAUCUUCGGACCUCUCGCUAUCAGAUGAGCCCG